GGCAGAGGCCCUGCCACCGGCCCCGGCCACGGCGUCUCCUGGCAGCGGGGGGAGAGGAGAGGCUGGCGCGAGGGCCAUGGCCCCGGCGAGCUCGGGGCACGGGGUGUGAGUGGGCCGGAGCGCCAGGCCUGGUCUCGCUGUGACCUGU